AUACUCUGGUUUCUCUUCAGAUCACAUAAAUAUUUCACUUUUUUCUAAAGAUUUCCAUGGAGAGGAACAAUUCUGAGUCUUUACUCAAUUUUUUGAGGCCUUGGCAUUGCCAGGGCU
rnacentral:snRNA from 1 species